rnacentral:lncRNA from 1 species
AUUUUUCCUCGUUAAACUUCCUCGUUAAAGUUACGUUUUCUUGUAGUGUUUGUAGACAAAAUCAAAGUUGCUUUAUUUUAUCAUUUCCACAAAAUUUACUUUUAAAGUAUUGUAUACGUUUACAAAAUGAUCACGACCCAUCCAUGACUUAUAUUCUAUAUGUAACUUUAUAAAUAGUAUGAAAGUAUGUGAACUUUGUAUGUAACGCAAAAUGACAUGUUAAAAUAACGAUGAAACCAAGAACUUUCGCUUGGAUUUUUGUCGAAUAAUAUAGUAGUGUAAAAUCUUGCAUCGAGAAGAAUAUAAUAAUUCGUUGUUGGUGUAAUAGUUUAGCUGUAUUUUUAUUUUAUUUUAUUUUUGAGAAAAGAUGUAGCUGUAUAUUUGUUUAAGCAAGUUGAACAAAAUGAUCACGUGUUCGAGAUUGUUCCUUUUCCAAGUUUAAGAGAUCUUGUGCAACCAUUAACCACUCCUAGUCAAUGAGUUUGGUAAACUGCGUAGCCAAACCUCCGAAAUGGUGUAUAAAAAACUUCAGAAUACAAGACUAAGAGAACAGACCAAAACACUCGGUCAUUAUAUUUAAAAUUUUAAAUAAAUAAAAAGGUUCAUAUUACGUACU